rnacentral:lncRNA from 1 species
UCGGCCCCCCAAAGUGCUGAGAUUACAGGCGUCAGCCACUGCAUCUGGCCCAAAAUGUCCUUAUUUCAAAAGAAUACCAUGAGGAUUCAAAUUAAUACAUGUAAAGGUCUUAGAAUUGUGCAUGGCACAUAGUUAACUUUGAGUAAAUGUCUGGUUUAUUGUUCUUACUAGUAGACCAUGGCUCAGCUUGUGUCUCGGAGCCUUCUCUAUGGCUUACAAGGGCCUGCAGGGUUUUCUCAGCUUCACCUAGGGCCAGGCUGCUUCAUUCCUCACAUGCCAUGUUCUGUUCAGACUCAGGACCUUUGCCCACACUGGUGCUUCUACCAAGCUCUGUCCCACUUAUCUCUGAGGUCUUAAUCCACAGGUCACUUUCUCAAGGAGCCUAGCUGCUCACUUCUUCCCCCAUCUGACCAUGGGCUCUGUCCCCUAGGCCUUGCCCAGUGCUGGGUCCAGAGAAGGUGCUGAAGAGUCUGGCUGAGUGUUGGACAGAGAGGAGGGAAGAGAAGAAAGGCCAGUUCCCACUCUCUUCAUCCCUUUCCUCACUGCCUGGCAAAACUAGAAAGAGGCCCCAAUAUAGCAGGUGAUUAUGCAAGGUGUCCAGUAUUCUCCAGACACUUUCUCUCAGGAUAAGGAAAGGGGACAGGAAGCUUAUGGGAAAGUUCUAGAAAAGGCAUCUUUUGCACUGUGCUGAGGCAACAGGCAGGAAUGGGGUAGCAAUCUCCAAAAACUAGGACUUCUUUCUGAGGUCUUUGACCCCAAGUGCUCCAUAGUCCAAAGCAGCUUCUCCUUCCUCCUCUCCACCCAAAGCUAUGGCGACUCCCUUGUCUGAUGCAGAUCAGUGCUGGAUGCUGUGGGGAAGAGAGUACUGGGCUGACAGUCAGUGGAUGUGGAUUUUGUUUCCCAGUUCCAUCGCUGAUUUGCAGACAUGGAUGGUCACAAAGGUGAAUUCACUUGCUCAAGAUCCAACACACACAAAAUGGAGGUGGUUCAAACCCAGGUGUGUCUGACUGCAGAGCCUGUGUUCUUCCCAGUAGAGAUGUGGAUGCAGCACAAAUGGUAGAAAGGACCUGAGACUUAGUCAGAAGACCUCAGUUCACCCAAGGGUUGCUACCAUCUCUGACCCUUUGUCUUUGGAUGCUGUUAAGCUAAAAGCGGACCAGGAUCCAUGAUGAGGUUCCUCUAUCCUCUGGGUUAAGUCUGUCCAGGUAAAAUAAUAGGGAAAGAAGAAUACCAUUAAAAUAAAAAUUGGCUGGACACAGUGGCUCAUGCCUGUAAUCUCAGCACUUUGGGAAGC